CUUCUCUCCUAUAACUCUAUUGUUUACAGUUUGGUUCUACAACGCUACACUGCACUCCAUUGCUUGCAGACCUUAGUGUGGGUCCAUAUUACAGAAGUAUCAUCUUUACUGCAGCUGACAGGAAGAGCAAUGUUGGCCAGAGAGAAUGUGAAGGAAGAAACUAGAGGAUAUUUUCACUACUUUUAUGCACUUAGGCAGUGUGGGCACCUGGAAUAAUGUGACAGCAGAGCACAUCGAGAGGAGACAGAACGCUAUGCGGCUUGGUGAAAUAGGGAAGAAAAUAAAGAUAAUCAAGGCACUGUGGCAAUUCCUGUUAAUAACACAGUUAUGUCCAACGUGUAGGAACUUGAAGGAAAGGGCUCACCUAGAGGCCAUGUGGAGCUUUGUGCCAUCUGCUGGACUCCUCCUGUUGUCCCAGCACAUUUGCUUUGAGGAUGCAAGUCCCAGUCCUGCCUCCUUCUUCAGGACUUGCCUCGAGGCUACAGGGAGCUCAGGGCCAUCCACUGGACUCCUAUUGUCCCAGCACAGCAGCUCAGAGGGCACUAGUCUCAGUUCUGCCUCCUUCAGAACUCACCUCAAGGCUGCAGGGGCCAUCCAUUGGACUCCUCUAGUCCUAACGCAGAAGCUUAGAAGAUGCCAGUCCUGCCCUCUUCUUGAGGGCUCAGCUGGAGGUCACAGGGAGCUCAGAGCUGUCUGGUGGACUCCUCCCGUUGUCCUGGUGCAGAAGUAUGGAGGGCACCAGUCCCAGUCUUUCUCUUUUCCUCAGAGCUCGGGAAUGUCUUGGGGAAGAAUGAGGAUAGGGAUGGGGAAGAAAGGCUUCUAGAAGGCAGCAGCUGGCCUAGGGGCUUUCUCGCAGAUGGUGACUGCUCAAUGCUGAGAUGGAAAUCGAGAGCCCCUGGUGCAUCACCAACGGAUGUAGGACAUCUCCGCACAAGCAUGAUGUUGUAGUGCUUGUCCAGGCCUGAUGGAGGUGGGUCCGCCUCCAUUGGUUUGUCCUCUGGAGAUGGGUCCACCUCCAUGGGCUCAAUGUUGCCUCCAAUGGGUCUACAUCCAUUGGUUCGGGCUUGCUGAUGCUCUCUAGAAGAUGAAGCGUCUUUGCUGGAGGAGGAUCCAUCCUCCUCCAAAAGGUUCCCACAAUGGGAGGAAAUGGUCUAUCCAAGGAGCUCCUUGUCUCAGGUAUAUGCUUUCCGGACAGAAGUUGGAUAACAACUGGAGUGGCUGAGGUCCCCAGGUUUGCUCAGUGCAGCACAGGCUGAGGGGAGGCCUAUGGCAGCUGCAGCUCUUCACAGGGAGUGGAGGGCAGUGCACUCCAGGGACAGCAACAGGGCCUGAGGGAAUGGUAUGGAGCUGUGUCAGGGGAGGGGCAGGUGGGGGUUAGGGAAAGGAUGUGCACCAGAUGGUGGUGGGCAUGGUGUGGCAGUGGACAUGGCUCUGAGCUGCUGCAGCUGAAGGAGCAUUUGCAUUUGGGUGAUCCCUUUGUGGAGCCAGGGGUUGGACUUGACGAUCAUUGUGGGUUCCUUCUAACUCUGGAUAUUGUAUGUCCAACUAGUUUUUUAAGGGAAGGAAGCAAUGCCCCUCUUCACUCAAAAGUCCAGAUCAAGGUGCUUUCAUUUAGGACACAGAAGAUCUCUUUCUAUUUCCUUCUACUACUAGUGAAGAUCCACUCGCCCAUGCCAGUAAGGAUUUUGGAAUCAGCAAAGUAGGUUUAACAGCUUUCCUUCUUUUAUUUUUGUGUUAUUAGUUCCUUUCUUUUGAGAAUAUGAGAAAAUACUUUUAACUUAGGAGCUGGAAUGUUCAUUUGUUUAUUCUUCAGUUAUUAAUAAAAUCUUCCCAAGAGUAAUUCAUUGUGAUGUAACGUGGUUAUUUUAUUAUAUCAAAGAAGGUGCUUCAUUUAACCCCUUCAGCAUUAUUAUCAGUAGUUUCAGAACUACUUUGUUGAAAUUAUGGACAAUAUCUCUUUUUUUCUCUGACCAGGAUUGUGAGAGAAAGUGAUAGAGAAAAAAAACAGAUCAAGCAGUAACAUUCUCACAUUUCAUGUCAGAACAACCUGGAAAUUGCUGUCAUAAGACUUCAACAAAUUCAAAUGAAUUUCUACCCCCUUUUUUUUUUUUUCUUGAGUAGAAAAUAUGACUACAAACUUUACUGAAUAGAGUCAUUUUUCAACAAAAGUCUCCAGGACAUACACUGAAUCAGUAUUAAGUCACUUCUCACACUACUGAAGAUUUCUGCCAAGUAUUACAGCAAUGUCUGUCAUCAACUCAAUGGAACAAUGUUCUUUACUACUGAAUCACUGAAUUGGAUAGAAAUGGACAGAAAGCAAAACAGAACAGUUUUCCACAUGGAUUUUCUUUACUCUGUGGAGUACAGACAGCAGCAAACAUCUAGGAUUCAAUUUUUUCUUAGGUAAAUGAUAAAAAUGAGUCCAAAAGACAAGGUGUAUGCCCUCUGUCACUGAUGUGAGAACAGGACAACUAGUUGCGAUAGAUAAUUGAGUGUACAUAGUAUUAACUUCUAUAAUCAAUUUCUUAAAUGAGAAAAGAAUAAAAGGCUUAUGUCAUAAUGUUGAUCUACUAACUUUGUUUUGAUGUAAGGUUACCAUAAAAAAAAACAUCUGGAAACUGAACAUUUUCUUUAAUAUUAUCUGUCAAAAAAAACGACAUAGACUAAGCAAUGGCUCUGUUUGUCGCCAUUUUCACUCUUAUAGAACCCAUCUGAUUCAAGCAUUUCUUGUAAUUUUAAAUAGCUUUGAAUGUGUUCUGGCCUGAGGAGUCUGAGUAAUGUUGACAGGAGAAGUACAUGUGCACUGAAGGGACACUGACUCCCCUUGAUUAUAAAUAUAUACUUUUUAUCUUGCAUGAUGGUAUACCAAAUGUGUUUAAAAAAAUAAUGUUUAGGGUUAGUUCCUUUUUUCUCUUAAUUUACAGAGGCAUACCUUAAUGUUUAAAAGACUGGAAGCUUGUGCUUUUCUUUAGGAUUGCACGUCAGACCUUUCAUAUUGUCUCAAGGAAAAUGCAAACAAGUUGUAUAUGCCUAACAUAAAAUAAUGUUAGAAACAGAUAAUCCCUUAGUACUUAUACUUGUGCCAAAUUCCUAAAGUAUGAUACUGUAACAACAAACCACAUCAGACUAAAUGCAAUCAACUUUACAAGCAUACCUUAUGGAAUACUUGAGUAAACCAUACAUGUGUUGAAUAGUGUUUGUUUUGCAGAUGUUCCUGUUUGUGCAUUCAUAGUUACAGGCUUCCCAUCUGAACUUAUCCAUUCUACUAAAAUUUUGGCAGCAGCUCCAACAGCAAUGUCAUGCAGAUUGGUACUUGCUGUAUGUGUGCAGUGCCUCUAAGAAUAACAGAUAAACCUGUAACUACAAUGCUAAUGAGUAAGAUUUCCUCACUUAGCUAUAUAUUCUUUGCUGACAUACAAAAUUAGAACUAGCAAUUGCACCCCAAUUCCCAGGUUGCAUCCAAACUGAUCUGACACACAUGGAGUGCUACUCAGAAGGGUUAAAAAAACCCAAACAUUUAGGUAUAUUUUUAACAGUUGUUCAGCAGCACUAGAUCUAGAAUGAAACACUAGGUUGGCUUAGGAUUUCAUGAUAAGAAGUAAGGUUGUUUAUAUGCCUUGAGAAUGAAUUCUGCUAUUCUGGCAUAGCAAGGUUUCUGGAGUAUCAACUGAUUUCCCAGUAUCUACCCCUUCAGCCUUGAUAUGGGAAUAUAAAGCAGUUCAACCAAACUAUCUGUGUUGCCCAAAACCCUGAUGGACCCUAUUUGCCUUUUAGCUACAUAUGGGUGAGAUGGCUGUGGUUAAAAAUGUAAAAAGAUCAACAAGCUAAAUAGCAUGGUGCCAGAGUGAGAAGUAAUCAUCAAGCUUUUGCAUACAUUGAUGCACUGUCUAAAGACAUGACAAUUGAAACAGUGAGGUUUUUUUUUUUCCCUAACCCCAAGCUUUUUUUCCAUAAAAGAAAAAUGGAUUACCAUCUUGACAACUGUUAUACCGGGCCUUCUGGCUACAGAAGUAAAUGACAGUCAUUUACUGUGCUAGUUCUUUUCCAGUCUUCAUUAAUUUUUUUGUUACACUUGAGCUGAAGCAGCUGAAUGCAACUGCCACCUUAUUGAGAAAUGCAUACCAGAGAAAAGCUCUACACUUCUCAGUGACAGUCCUCUAACUACUGUCUAUAUUGUUCCCCUUAAAACCGUAACGUACAAGAAAACGCCUUCACUCAUUUUUGUCCUGCUGAAACUUUACCCCAGUUCCAUCCUGCAAGUUAUCAGUAAACAAUCUAUUUAUUAAUUAUCCCUUGAUGAGGCAUGCUUUGGGCUCCGAUUUGCUGCCUGCUCUACCCUCCUUCCCAUAUCCCACUUGCAAAAUCCUCGUAGUUAGCCGACACCUCUUGCUCUGAAAUGCCUGAACGUGACAAGUAAAAUAAGAGCAAUAUGAACAAGUGCUGCUUGAUAAGCGGAAUAAAGUUGGUAAUUGCAUUCAUCAUUUCUAAUUAUCUACCUAUUAAGCUUGUCCAAGACGCUCAUCUAUCAACUAAGGGGCUCUUGGAAAGAAAUCCUUUGUAAUUAUGGGGUUUAUUUAUUAGCUUUCAUUCAUUUGUGAGUUGCAAAGUUCUGAAUGAUUAUGAAUCCCACUUGGUAAACUUGUUUUGUUCCUAUAGCUUUGUAGUAUGGUGCAAAAAUGUGAUAUUCAAAUACGUUUGCUCAAGGACUCAAGUAAUGGUCUUGCAGACCAGACUGUAUGCAGUUGUGUACCUACAGAAUGCGCAAGGUUAAUAAACUUGUAAAGUUGAUCUUAAUUCCUUUGUUUCACCUUGCAGUCUUAAUAUUCUCUUUGUAUUUAUUUUUAUUUAGAUGGAACAUAAACACCCACAAUGUUUUUUCAGUAGUUACACAUGUUGUUGAAAAUGUGUUUCAAACAACUGGAUUAUCCCUCUUUCUUCCCCUAUCACUUCUUCCUAAACUAAGUUCCCAUCUCUACUACCCCUUCUUUUUCUCAGUUUCCUGCCAAGUAUCACGAGUCUUUCUUUA